rnacentral:rRNA from 1 species
GAAUUUUGGCCAAUGGGCGAAAGCCUGAUCUAGCCAUGCCGCGUGAUCGAUGAAGGCCUUAGGGUUGUAAAGAUCUUUCAGCUGGGAAGAUAAUGACCGUACCAGCAGAAGAAGCCCCGGCUAACCCCGUCCCCGCCGCCGCGGUAAUACGGAGGGGGCUAGCGUUAUUCGGUUUUACUGGGCGUCAAGCGCACGUAGGCGGAUCAGAAAGUUAGGGGUGAAAUCCCGGGGCUCAACCUCGGAACUGCCUCUAAAACUCCUGGUCUUGAGGUCGAGAGAGGUGAGUGGAAUUCCGAGUGUAGAGGUGAAAUUCGUAGAUAUUCGGAGGAACACCAGUGGCGAAGGCGGCUCACUGGCUCGAUACUGACGCUGAGGUGCGAAAGCGUGGGGAGCAAACA